rnacentral:rRNA from 1 species
GACGAAGGGGGCUAGCGUUGUUCGGAAUUACUGGCGUAAAGCGCGUGUAGGCGGCUGCCAAAGUCGGGUGUGAAAGCCUUGAGCUCAACUCAAGAAUGGCACUCGAUACUUGGUGGCUAGAGGACCGGAGAGGAUAGUGGAAUUCCCAGUGUAGUGGUGAAAUACGUAGAGAUUGGGAAGAACACCAGUGGCGAAGGCGGCUA